UAUCUCUGUAGAGUCUGCAUAUCAAUAAGCGGAGGAAAAGAAACUAACUAGGAUUCCCUCAGUAACGGCGAGUGAAGCGGGAAGAGCUCAAAUUUGAAAUCUUCAAGGUUCUACCUUGACGAAUUGUAGUUUAAAGAAGUGUUUUCUGUUGGAGUUUUGGUAAAAGUUCUUUGGAAUAGGACAUCAUAGAGGGUGAGAAUCCCGUAUUUGACCAUUAUUUCCAGCUUUGUGAUACACUUUCAAAGAGUCGGAUUGUUUGGGAAUGCAGUCCAAAAUGGGUGGUAACUUUCAUCUAAAGCUAAAUACUGGCGAGAGACCGAUAGCGAACAAGUACCGUGAGGGAAAGAUGAAAAGAACUUUGAAAGGAGAGUUAAACAGUACGUGAAAUUGUCAAAAGGGAAGCGUUUGACACCAGUGUUGUUUUCUCGAAAAUCAAUUAAAAAAAGUUGGAUUUUGUAUUGUUAAGACCUUAUCAGCCUACUGUACUCUUUUCUUGCUUUUUUUAAUGCACUUUUCGUUUAACAAGUCAACAUCAAUUUCUUUUGUUGUAAAAGAGUCAUUGGAAGGUGGCUUUCACUUCGGUGAAAGUGUUUGUAGCCUUUGGCUUCUGCAAUCGGAGAGAUUGAGGCCUGCAGCGUAGAUCCUUCGGGGUUAGAUACAUUUGUGCUAAGUUAUAGCCUUUCAUAGACAACUUGUUGACUAUGAUCAGUCAUGUAGCUUACUCGCUUAUGCUAUUUUACCUACGCUUAGGAUGUUGAAGUCAUCGUAUCGCGC
rnacentral:rRNA from 1 species